GAGGGUAUAGCUCAAUUGGUAGAGUGCAUGCUUAGCAUGCCCGAGGUUCUGAGUUUAAUCCCCAGUACCUCCU
rnacentral:tRNA from 1 species